GUUGGCUAGGACAAUACAGUUUUCAAUAAUAAACUAAUACAAUGAUUGAAACGACAUUAAUCUGUAAGAACAUUCAAGAAAAAAACACACACAAAGGCAAGUGAAGAACACAAAUACACACAAACAAGUGAAUAUUUCAAAGAAAUAAAGACUUGAUUUGCUUUCCACCACACGAUUUAUCCUCUUUGGCCAUCGUUAGACACCCAAUUCUAGCUAACACAUUUUAGACAAACCAUUGGGCUGUGGUGUAAAAAAAAAAACAACCUUCUUCAAUGAAAACAUCUCAUGCAAUUCCAUUCAGACCUCUACAUUUGUCUUCAAUUUGGUGCUUUGCUUUGAAUCAGUUAUUACAUGAGAAAUGGCACAUCUAUCAGAAACUUUACCAUAACUUAAUAUAAGAAUCAGAGCAUCUGUUACUGUCCGUCAGCAACUCUUUUAGCACACUGGUGAAUCUAUAAUAAUCACAUCAAAUAUCAAUAAUCUUCAGAUGGACCAAUGUGAUUCAAAAACGGGACACGGACACAAUGAGUGAUUGUUUCAGAGCUUUACCAACUAAAAAUAUAGUUAGGGGAUAGCAGCACACGUCAAAACGUUAUAUCAUGACGUCUUCACCCAAACUCAUGCAGCAUAAACGGCGGCAAAGAUCUAAUAGUGUGUGUGCACUUGUGUAUUCAAUGCACAUUUAAUAAAGGCAAAAAUAAUAUAUUGAGGCACAACCAAUCAUUAAUAACCCCUCAAGUAUAUCAUCCUUAUACUUCAACUGUCAGGUAUAACCAAUGUCUUUUCCACCGUUUUAAGUGAGAAAAGAAAAAAACUCAACCAUUCACAUUUGCAGCUUGAUAUUUAAAAUACAAUUACAGUUUCCUAUAAAUUACACAUCUUUUAAAAAAAAAAUACAUUUAAUGAAACUGAAAAAAAAAUCAAAUGCACUACAUUGAAGCGAAUUAACAACUCUAUUAUUUUGAUAAAAAUAGAGAAAAUUAACAUCUGUAUAUUUCUUUUUUUUAAACAAAUAAAGUGCAAGACACCCAACACUGGCGGAUCAGUUUUAAAUAGUCAAUAUGAGGAGGAAAGAAACGCUAUAACGAUCCUAAUACCUAAUUUCACAAACACCAACAUGGUCAAGUUUCAUAAAGGCUCAGCAAUUUUGAGAAUUGUUUUAGGCAUUUCAUGCAUAUCCAUUUUAAAAUGAUCAAAACUUGCCUAUAUUAUUAGCGCUUUUAUUAGCUCAUUUUGCUUGCAAAUAUAUAUUUUAGCAGGUAAAAUUCAUGACUACACAUUUGACCAAUCAAAAGGCCUGCAAGAUGCUGUUUAGUUGCUUGUUUUAAAUUUUUCUAAUGGGAUGAAUACAAUUUAAACACCAUCAACAGCAUCUGUGCCAUUGCCAUAGAAAAAAAAUAUAUACUAUUAUAAUAUUUUAUAGAGUAAAUAUCUCAUAAACAAAAACCAAAUCCACUUUAAUUGAAUCUGAGGUAAUUUUCCCCAUAGUCUUCAAGUGUAAAGGAAUAAUGCAUCCGUUUUCAGAAAAUCACAUUGGUGUAGAAAUGAUGGCACAGAUGUUGUUGAUAGAGUUUAACAACCAGAGCUUAAAGGACUGAAAUAAGAAGUUAUAGCACAUAUAUGCUCUACAAUUACAAUUACUCUACAACUGUGACCUAUUUGACUCAAUACCACUGCUGCACAAUGAACAAAUAGAAUCGAAUAGAAGGUAAUCAGCGAUUUUAGUCCUGAAUAUUGAUGGAGGACAAAAUCUGAAAAUAUAACACACCAACAGACUACUAAAUAUCGUUCUGAUGAACACUGUGACUGAUAUAUUGUGAGGGUGAGAACGAAUGCAACUUACAAGGCAAACCACAAGGACUGCACAAGCUCUUAAAGGACACAAGUGAGCUCAGCUAAUGAACACAUCCUGUUUUACUCUUGAAUGAUGCACUUCCUGUGUGAGCCUCUCAUCGAAAACGCUCUCAAACUG
ensembl:lncRNA